UACGUAGGGACCGAGCGUUGUCCGGAAUCAUUGGGCGUAAAGCGCGCGUAGGCGGUUUGGUAAGUCGGAUGUGAAAACCAGAGGCUCAACCUCUGGCCUGCAUCCGAUACUGCCCGACUAGAGGUAGGUAGGGGAGAUCGGAAUUCCUGGUGUAGCGGUGAAAUGCGCAGAUAUCAGGAGGAACACCGGUGGCGAAGGCGGCAUCCUGGACCGGCAUUGACGCUGAGGAGCGAAAGCCAGGGGAGCAAACGGG
rnacentral:rRNA from 1 species